UCCUACAUUUGACAAGGUCCACACGUCCGAUGUAUAAAAUAUUUUGUGGAGCCGAUUCAAGGGAGGACAAAUUUACGGCGUUGUUUAGUUGGUGGCUUUCCUUUGUAUUUUUUGUUCAUUCCAAAACGAUGUAUGGUUUUUAGUUGAAUAUCUAUAUCAACAUCAACAUCAACAUAUUCUAAAUUUGUGCUAGCAUUGAGUUUCUUUCCGCCAUUCCAAAAGACCGAUCUUGCCCUUCCUUCUCUUUACUUACAGUUAGACUGCAUGUGUAUUUUAGACAUUUUACUUAUCCUUGGAUCAUCCAUCUACAAACGGGUCGAACCCAUGUCUAUUUCAGUUCUUUUUAGUGCUUGGGUUGGAUUAUCCGUGACCAUACGGGUUAUAACAGUUUUAAGAAAGCACGUAACUUUCAUCUGAUUUUUCUCCAACUGCCACCUUUCACGCACAACACUAUCAUCUUCUCGUGAAAUUCAAAUUCCUUGAUUAGUGGAGGCUUGAUUUGAUACCUUCCAAUCGUAGCCUUGGUUGUAACACUUUAUGGUGGCGUCCUUGCCGGAUUCUUCAUCAACAUGUCCGGUUGGUUAUUUGCCUUCCAGAGUUCACAUUUAUGUCAUCUUCCUUCACGCACUGAUGAUCUCAACGUCCACUCCGUCCUUUGUCUCCUCCUUCCGGGAGUAAUGGUUAGUCUACUGUAUGCGAUCUUCGUUAUCUUCUAAUAAUGUUAUUUGUUUGUUCUUUGUUGUCAGAGAAACGUCGGCCUGUCUAUUCAAGCAACGGUGACGUGCAGAUCAGAGGCACAGUUUCAGAAAACUCGAAUCGCAACAUUCGAACAUCAGGUUUUACAUUCAACCUUUCUUGGCUUCACAUUCUAUAAUCUGUCUCAUUGGAGAAUCAUGCAGGUUAUGUUGUUCAUUAAUGAGUGUAUACGUUAAAACUGUGAUGCCAAUUUAUUGUGUUUUGGAAAUCUGCACGGCGUGUAUAACAGGAUUGUCUGGCCUUAACACACUUUCUCUUUAUAAAGCUCAUUCUCCAUAUGCUCUCAGUUGCCUUCUGGUAUAACUCUCUUGAUAAAGCCUGGUCUUCGCAAAGCAUUCAACAGCCUAUUUAGUAUAUAAAGUAUAGAUAUAUUUUUUUUCUCAUGUCAUUGGUUUUUGUUAUUUGUUUCAGAUGGAAUAGCAGAGGAGGUUGCGUGACGUUGAUUUGUCUGUUAUGACAAUGAGGAAUACUUCCAACCAAGCUCUCAUGACGAUGUAUGUUAUUCGUGGUUUUCAGGACUAACCAACCGUGUUUUUGCAGCUGUUACUCAACGAACACCCCUGGCCCGAAUUAUAGCGAUACAGUCAAAUAAGCAGAGCGUGAGUAACAAUUCCUUUUUGCUUUGUUUAAGGUGUGGCAUGCAUACUUAUGGUAGUUCUGUCAGGGCUGCCAAAAGUGGUGCAGUGUGUCCCUGAUCCAAGUUUGCUGAAAUGAACAAGCCGAAGUGACUUGCUCAGCCCCAGAAACCAAUGCCACUGGGAUGCUCUCUGAACUAAAAUUGGUAGCACACCACUGUAUAUUGCAACAGUCUUGGUCAUACAAAUGAUCAGAUUCUGCAUAAAGAGGUUGUGGCUAUCUCUGAUAUGCAAUUUUCUAUUGUUAUGAAUUACUGAGUGUUUAUUUCUUCAGUUCAAAUGCAGGCUUCGGCUACAAUUAUAAGAA